rnacentral:rRNA from 1 species
CCUACGGGGGGCUGCAGUGGGGAAUAUUGCACAAUGGGCGCAAGCCUGAUGCAGCCAUGCCGUGUGUGUGAAGAAGGCCUUCGGGUUGUAAAGCACUUUCAGCGGGGAGGAAGGCGUUAAGGUUAAUAACCUUGGCGAUUGACGUUACCCGCAGAAGAAGCACCGGCUAACUCCGUGCCAGCAGCCGCGGUAAUACGGAGGGUGCAAGCGUUAAUCGAAAUUACUGGGCGUAAAGCGCACGCAGGCGGUCUGUCAAGUCGGAUGUGAAAUCCCCGGGCUCAACCUGGGAACUGCAUUCGAAACUGGCAGGCUAGAGUCUUGUAGAGGGGGGUAGAAUUCCAGGUGUAGCGGUGAAAUGCGUAGAGAUCUGGAGGAAUACCGGUGGCGAAGGCGGCCCCCUGGACAAAGACUGACGCUCAGGUGCGAAAGCGUGGGGAGCAAACAGGAUUAGAUACCCGAGUAGUC